AGAGGGCAGGAGGGAAGUCAGAGAGAGGCCUGAGCCUGGGCUCUGUUUCCAACCCUCAGGGAUGCUUCCCACCUACUCAGUACUGGGACACCCGGGGCUCUGGAGGCUGACGGGGUCUGUCCUGCCUGUACGUCCGUCUUAUCUGGAAAAUUUUUCAGGGACAUGAAUGCUAAACUUAUUUUAUGCUAUCAUGUUGUGGUCACAGUGGGACUGGUGAUCAAUGUGGAGGAGACGGGGCUGAGGAGGAGACGCAAGGAGAUGUCACGCUGUCGGUGGACCAGUCAGCAACAUCUCAGGACCACCACCGGGCUUGAGAUUUGAGAAAAAGGCACUGGGUUUUAGAAGGCAAUCCUACAAAUAUUAAAAUAAACACUUUUUUCCGUUUAUAGCUGGAUGAUCAUGAACACCCUAACUGGCUACAUAAGCGUUGGUCCAGAAGGGGACACACGCACAUGCUUUUGUUUAAAACAACUUAGUUGAGCCAGUUUCUAAAAAUAAAAAUAAUUUGGUUGAAAAUGAAUAAUCUACAAUCACUGUUAGCUUUGUGGGUUUUUUCCUUUUUGGGGGGCAAAUAUUGGCAAAUUUUGCGUACAAAAGGGCUCUUAAAACUUUUAUUUCUUUAAGCAAGUUGGUCUAUCCUCCCCUCCCCCCCCCCAGAAUUUCUCCGAUUGUUUCCCUCCUUUUCCCCUUCUCCUUUAUUGUAAUUUAUUUUCAUGCAGUUAUUCUGGCUUUGCGUUGGUUUGUUAGGGCCAAGUUGGAAGCAACCAAAAUGUCCAACAAUAGGAGUUUAGUUGGAAGCGACUCAAAGUCUAACAAUAGUGGACUGCUUAAAUAAAUUAUAAAAGGUGUUUCAUAUUAUGCACAAAAACUUUUCAAAUGUGAACUGGUGACUUACAAUACUCAAAUUUUCCCAAUUCUAAAAUCUCAUGAACACAUAUCCAGAUAGGCAAAGCAGGUUAAAAGUAAAUUAGAACACACAGACACACACACACACACACACACACACACACACACACACACACCAUUUAAACCCUGAAAAGUUCCAGAUAAUUUUUUUCUAUUUAAUCAUAUUUGGUUUAAAGUUAUUAUUAUUUUUACAAAAUCAGCUGAUGUUCAUCACAUUAAAAGAGCUACAGCCAAGCAAAAAAGCAUUUCUAGCCAUCCAGUGGCAGCCACUGUUGUUUCCAAGAGGCCAAUUUUCUGCUGAGCGAGGUUACUGUUCUUUCUGGUAGAGGAGCUGAGUGAGGGCAGAGCAUCCAACCAGAAUGGUCCCACAGGCAGCGGGAGACGCUGGGCGGAAACACAAAUACAGGUCAGGCUAAACUAACAGAUCUGGGUGUCUUUGGCCCAGAAAUGACAGGUGAUGUCCCAAAGGGAGAAAAGGAGACAGUGGGGGGUUGGGAAACAAAAGCCCAGAUCUGGGUU
rnacentral:lncRNA from 1 species